UGAUACUGGCCUUAGAAAAAGCAUUACAUGGAUGAUACCAACUAUAAACAGUUGAAUUCAUGUAUCACAAUCAUACAGAAAAAAAAAGAGUUGGUCCAAUUUUUUUAAAGUCAUGAUAUGACAACAAGUGAAAAAUCCAAGUGAUUAAUAAAAUUUAAAUGUACCUUGAAACUCGCCUCUUAAUUUUGGAGACACGUGUGAUCAUAUGCCAAUGCCGCUUAAUUCCAGUAUCACAUGGACAACUUGUGUCAACAGAAAGAUUUACUACUCGAAAAGAACCGUAAAACUAAUUAUUUUUCAUAUGCAGAUACAAGACAUGCUGUCACGACCCGAGCCGAGGUCCUGGCCACGACGAGCAUCCCGAACCAUUAAGAUCCGGGUGCCCCUUUCUAUCUGUCAAUCAUGAACACCAUUCAUAUACAAUAAGGAAAAAUGCGAAAAAAUAUUACAACGGAAUCAUGGUCAACUCUUAUUUCAACUACACAAUAAUGAAAUGAGUUCAUAAGAUCAAUAUCUAACAUUAGUCUGCGAAAUCUCUACUGACUGAAAAUAACCUCUGAAGACUGAGACAAAACUGGGACAAGGCCCCAGCAGACCAUAGAAAAGGAUAGAAACAAUGAAAUCUGAAAUUCAGGCCUUUCGGAAUAGAGGAGGCUCAUCAACUGCAACUUCUGACACGCACGGAUCUACUGCUAUAUGAGACUGCAGGACUGUGUCUCGGAUCCUGCAGAGCAAUCCAAAGUAAUGUAUUUAUUAUAUAUAUAACAUAGAUGAGAGCAAGUCUUGAAACAUUAAGCAUGUAAUAGUUAAAAAAAAUACAUGGGCAAUUUCAAUGAUCUUAAAACAAUCUUGUCAACACAGUUCUAAUCUUUGUAUUACUUCUGAGUUGGGUGGUACACCCUACAUUUUUACAAUCCCACGGGCUAUAUGGAAUCCGCCCUUAACUCGGCGGCCAAGCCCCCAACCCAAGUUUGCCGCAAGGGUUGGAUUUUAUGAAUAGUUUGGUAUACCCCCUACAAGUAUACCGUGGCAUCACCCUUACAUGACGUCCACAUUAUUUUCUUUUUCGGACAAUACCUGUAUCGGCAAAACAUGAUUUUUCUAGCGAUGAGCUCUUACAUUCAAACGCCUUCUUCGGGUAACCACCGAACUCUUUUUAAGCCCAUUUUUAGCUUGUUCUAAACAUGCAUCUUUCUGAAAAUCUGAGUAAAAAUCUAUAUUCUGUUCUGAAUUUACCAUGGCAUUAUCUGUAUUGGUAUCGUCAUACCAUGACUUGCAAGUCAUAUCUCUGAGCCAUAAAAAUAUCAUAUCACAGUCUUUUCUUUGAAAACAUAAAGUUCAAACCACCAUAUUUCAAAUAGUUCAAAAAAUUCCUUCUUCAAUACAUUUAUCAAACUAUGCAAAAACCAUUCCUUUCAAUCAUUUCAACAAACAUGUGGUCAUAAAUUUCAACAACCCAUGAAAUUCUUUUCAUAUAUAUAUAUAUUCAGCACUUACCAACAUGUAAAACCCUCUCUCUUCAAUUCAAAAAUCAAUAAUCAAGUCAUAAUCAAAGUCAAAGCUUUUAUAUUAAAUCAUGUUUCCAAUAUCACAUUUCGAACACAUCAUAUCUUACGAAGUUAAGAGACUUGUAAAUAAGAAAGGGAUUUCAAAUAAUUCAUGCUCUCAAUUCAUAAUUCAAACUCACCAAACUCAUACAUAUAUCAACUUGAACAUGGUUAUAAAUCAUAUUUGGGGAAAAGGCCUCAAGACAAAAUUAAUGUCAUCAAAAUCUUUAAAAGCAUGAAUCUAAUUAUAAAUCCAAAAACCCCUUGUAAAUUCAUAAUUUCUAAACCUUUAACAUGAUUAAUAAGAACUUACCAUGACCAUGUAUAUUUAGGAAGACCCCACGUACCUUAGAUUACUUAGACUAAAGAGUAGAACUCGAAUCUUGAUUCUUUUUCUUAGAAAUCUUGGACUUGGCUUGAAUUCUUGAUCUUGAAUGUUGGAACUUAGGGUUUUGGGUUGAGAAGAAUUUUGAUGAAUAUAAGUAUAAAAUUCUUGCAAGAGGCUUAAAUCAGAUGUUUGGGCGGAUUGGAGUUGGGGAAAAGACUAAAAUACUCUUAAGGAAACAAAAAAAAGUCGCAGCAGUCCCUCAGUUGAUAGAUUGAUAUGCUGAAGUAAAUUAGGCAUAACUUUUUACUCCGAUGUUGUAUUUGGAAG
rnacentral:lncRNA from 1 species